CUGGAACGCGCUUCGGCGCACCCAGAAACCCUUUGUGAACUUAUACCUAUUGUUGCCUCGGCGCAGGCCGGCCUCUUCACUGAGGCCCCCUGGAAACAGGGAGCAGCCCGCCGGCGGCCAACCAAACUCUUGUUUCUAUAGUGAAUCUCUGAGUAAAAAAACAUAAAUGAAUCA
rnacentral:misc_RNA from 1 species